AUGAAAGACGGUUUCGGCUGUCACUUACAGAUGGACCCGCGGCGCAUUAGCUAGUUGGUGGGGUAAUGGCUCACCAAGGCGACGAUGCGUAGCCGACCUGAGAGGGUGAUCGGCCACACUGGGACUGAGACACGGCCCAGACUCCUACGGGAGGCAGCAGUAGGGAAUCUUCCGCAAUGGACGAAAGUCUGACGGAGCAACGCCGCGUGAGUGAUGAAGGUUUUCGGAUCGUAAAGCUCUGUUGUUAGGGAAGAACAAGUGCGAGAGUAACUGCUCGCACCUUGACGGUACCUAACCAGAAAGCCACGGCUAACUACGUGCCAGCAGCCGCGGUAAUACGUAGGUGGCAAGCGUUGUCCGGAAUUAUUGGGCGUAAAGGGCUCGCAGGCGGUUUCUUAAGUCUGAUGUGAAAGCCCCCGGCUCAACCGGGGAGGGUCAUUGGAAACUGGGAAACUUGAGUGCAGAAGAGGAGAGUGGAAUUCCACGUGUAGCGGUGAAAUGCGUAGAGAUGUGGAGGAACACCAGUGGCGAAGGCGACUCUCUGGUCUGUAACUGACGCUGAGGAGCGAAAGCGUGGGGAGCGAACAGGAUUAGAUACCCUGGUAGUCCACGCCGUAAACGAUGAGUGCUAAGUGUUAGGGGGUUUCCGCCCCUUAGUGCUGCAGCUAACGCAUUAAGCACUCCGCCUGGGGAGUACGUCGCAAGACUGAUACUCAAAGGAAUUGACGGGGGCCCGCACAAGCGGUGGAGCAUGUGGUUUAAUUCGAAGCAACGCGAAGAACCUUACCAGGUCUUGACAUCCUCUGACAACCCUAGAGAUAGGGCUUUCCCUUCGGGGACAGAGUGACAGGUGGUGCAUGGUUGUCGUCAGCUCGUGUCGUGAGAUGUUGGGUUAAGUCCCGCAACGAGCGCAACCCUUGAUCUUAGUUGCCAGCAUUCAGUUGGGCACUCUAAGGUGACUGCCGGUGACAAACCGGAGGAAGGUGGGGAUGACGUCAAAUCAUCAUGCCCCUUAUGACCUGGGCUACACACGU
rnacentral:rRNA from 1 species